AUUGAACGCUGGCGGCAGGCCUAACACAUGCAAGUCGAGCGGAUGAAGGGAGCUUGCUCCUGGAUUCAGCGGCGGACGGGUGAGUAAUGCCUAGGAAUCUGCCUGGUAGUGGGGGAUAACGUCCGGAAACGGGCGCUAAUACCGCAUACGUCCUGAGGGAGAAAGUGGGGGAUCUUCGGACCUCACGCUAUCAGAUGAGCCUAGGUCGGAUUAGCUAGUUGGUGGGGUUAAGGCCUACCAAGGCGACGAUCCGUAACUGGUCUGAGAGGAUGAUCAGCCACACUAGAACUGAGACACGGUCCAGACUCCUACGGGACGCAGCAGUGGAGAAUAGUAGACAAUGGGCGAAAGCCUGAUCCAGCCAUGCCGCGUGUGUGAAGAAGGUCUUCGGAUUGGAAAGCACUUUAAGUGGGGAGGAAGGGCAGUAAGUUAAUACCUUGCUGUUUUGACGUUACCAACAGAAUAAGCACCGGCUAACUUCGUG
rnacentral:rRNA from 1 species